rnacentral:lncRNA from 1 species
AAGAGUGUACUAAUGAGACUUCUCAUUCAUUUACUUAACAAAUAUUUCCUAAGCACCGACUGCCAGGUUUAAGGUUCCAUCAGUGAACAGAUUAGAGAAGAAGCUCUGCCCUGAAGGAGCUGAUGUUCUCAUGGAGGAGAGUGAAAAUGGUUGGGGGUUUCUUUCUCGGGGUAAAAUAAAUGCAUAAAGAGAAGGAUGGUAAGGAGAUGGAGUGCUUGGGAUUUGGAGUGCCAUUUUAGAUUGAACAGAAACGUCAAGGAAGGCCUUUGGGAGGGUGUGUUUGAGCAGAGGUCAGACUGAAGCGAGGCAGCCAUGGGGAUAUCCAGCUGUGCCAGGCUUGGUCACCCCAGGGCCUUUGCACUUACUAUUCCCUCUGCCAGGGUUGUUUUCUUCUCAAGUUCCAUAUAGCUCACUCCUUCCCCUUUAGGUUUUUGCUCAGAUGUCAACUCGGGAAGUUCCUGCUGCUGGGGGUUGAAUCAGCCAUUGCAGCUGGCCUGUGCCGCAGCCACUGCAACACCAGAUCCAAGCUGCAUCCAUGAACUUCACUGCAGCUUGAGGCAACGCCAGAUCUUUAACCCACUGAACAAGGCCAGGGGGAAUCGAACCUGCAUUCUCAUGGAUACUAGUUGGGUUCCUGGCCUGCUGAGCCACAAUGGGGACUCCAAAGGCUGGUUGUCUUUAGGAUCUUAAAAAUUUUUGAAGUAUCUCAGACCUGGAAUCUGUUACUUCCCCAGUCGUUAUCCAGGGCAGGAAUUUGCCUUUUUCCACAGCUAGUGGCUGUCCAAAUUCCAUUUAAUAUUUCUUAUGGUGGGAGGUCCACUACUCUACCUACCCCUGUUACAGGGCCUAAUUUACUUCCCAGUAAGGUCCAUGAAGUCUGGCUGUAUGUUUGUUAGAACCUGUUAGGAGAAUGUGGAGGGAAGACCUUAAAUGUCAACCUUGGAAUCUUAGAGGCCUGAGGUACUGGGAAGCCAUGGAAGAAUCUAUGCUCAAGAGGAAUAUGGUCAGGUUUGUGCUUAGACCUCAUAUUAAUUAAAAAGAAAGACCUCAUUGGAGUUCCCGUCAUGGCUCAGUGGUUAACGAGUCUGACUAGGAACCAUGAGGUUGUGGGUUCGAUCCCUGGCCUCACUCAGUGAGUUAAGGAUCUGGUGUUGCUGUGAGCCGUGGUGUAGGUUGCAGAUGAGAUUUGGAUCCCUCGUUGCUGUAGCUGUGGCGUAGGCCGGCAGCUACAGCUCCGAUUCGACCCCUAGCCUGGGAAUCUCCAUACGCCACAGGUGUGGCCCUAAAAACAAAAGAAAAGAAAAAAAAAAG